GCCUCAUUUGAUAGAUAUGAGGUGAAACCUGCUCAAUGGUUGCUAAUAAUAACUAAAAACAAUUAAAUAGCCGCGGUAACUCUGACCGUGAUAAAGUAGCAUAAUCACUCGUCAUUUAAUUGGUGACUGGAAUGAACGGUUAAACGAAUCUCUAACUGUCUCGAGGAGAAGUUCAAUUAAUUUGAAGAAACAGUGAAGAUGCUGUUAGAUAAUUGUAAGACGAAAAGACCCUUUCGAGCUUUACUAUAAACUUAUAUUUUCGGUAAAUAAUAAUAAUCUAUUUACAUAAUUUUUGUAAGUUUGUUAGUUUGGUUGGGGCGACCACCUCUAAAAUAGUAUCAGAGGAAAUCUAAAGGUUUCUAUAGUAAUAUGAUUUGCCUUACUGUAUACAAACAAGUUAAUCAGUUACAUUUAUGUAGGAUAUAAUGACCCGUUAAUUAAAUUUUAAAACUUAACGACCAUGAAAAAAGUUACCGUAGGGAUAACAGGGUAAUAUUUUCGAAGAGUUCAUAUCGAUGAAAAUGUUUGCCACCUCGAUGUUGAAUUGUGAUAUCCUAAAGGUGUAGCAGCUUUUGAGGGUUG
rnacentral:rRNA from 1 species